rnacentral:rRNA from 1 species
CGGACGGGUGAGUAUGUCUGGGAAACUGCCUGAUGGAGGGGGAUAACUACUGGAAACGGUAGCUAAUACCGCAUAACGUCGCAAGACCAAAGAGGGGGACCUUCGGGCCUCUUGCCAUCGGAUGUGCCCAGAUGGGAUUAGCUAGUAGGUGGGGUAACGGCUCACCUAGGCGACGAUCCCUAGCUGGUCUGAGAGGAUGACCAGCCACACUGGAACUGAGACACGGUCCAG